UCAAGUUAAACAAAUUGUCCACCGUUUCCAUGAGGACUAAGUAACGAAUGCCUCUUUCCUAGAAUCCAAAGGACUGAAACUGGAAAUCAAAGGUGGUUUUUACCCCAUUUGAACAAACUGCUCAGUCCUGCAAGAACUUUAGAAGAAAUCUCAGUGGAUCCUGGAGGCAAAAACCGAAACAAGAAUUAGUCUGCUCUGCAUUCUGGAGAUGGUUCAUGGCUGUUACCAACGAGGUCAUGGAGGGACCAAGAAGAAAAACAAGGGAUUCCGGUUUUGUUUGCAGGAAGAUUAUCAAGAUGGAAACAUUUUAACUAGGAAGUUAUAAAGUGCUUGAAGUACAGACACUGGAAUCCUUAGGGUUCCCGUAACAAGCCCACCCCACCCCUGCCCAAAUGACUGUGUUUCAGAUGCCUUGUAAGCUGAAAAAUGCUGCCCAUGUUCAGACAUCAGA